rnacentral:piRNA from 1 species
UCUUAGGAAAGGGAUCAUAGUCAUUAUUUU